GGGUGUUGGAUGAUAUUGACUACUGGAAAGCUACCAAGUUAAGCUUUUUCCUGCUUUAUUUUGGUUAAGUAAUUUUAAAAGGAAAAUUAAAAAAAAUCAUUUUAUACACAUUUUAUGUUAUUAGUUUCUGGUGUUAAACUAUUAAAAAACAAUAUUAGCCAAAAUUAAUUCGCAGAAACACUUUUUAAAAAAUGUAUUUCUCAAUAUUCUUAUUUAUAUGGAGAUCCCCUAAUAUCAUAUAAUAUACACAGUUUAUUGCAUCUCCCUAUGUUUGUUAAAAUGCAUGGUCCAUUAGACAGUUUCAUUUAUUUUAAUUAUGAAAAUUAAUUACAAUAUGUGAAAUUCUCCAUUUAAUGUUCUAGAUAUCCUCUUCCAGAAAUUUUUAAUUAGUUUAUUGAAAAACAAAAAAUGUUAGCCUAAUAGAAUCACAAUAUUCUAUAACAUGUGAAAAAGAAUUAGAAAAUUGUAAAUCAACUAUACAUUUUAAUCUAAUUGAUAAGCUUUUCAAAGAAAUUAUUUUAAAUGAUUGAAAAGGAAAGCGAUAAAUAUAUAAGUUUAAAAAAUAACUAUAUUGUCAGAGUGAAACACAUAGUAAAGCAACACCAUACAACCAAUAUUAAAUUAAUUGUGUAAACAAUUUUAAAGUUUUCACCAUUUUAUAUGACCCCCGUUAAUUUCUCAGUGUUCGGUUCAUUUAUAGCAGAUAAACAAUAUUCUGAAUGUUUUUCAAUAGGUCUUGAUGAAAUAAAGAAUAAAUGCUUUGUAAUUUCAAUUAGUACAGUUAAAGCUAUUAUUAUGGAUCUGACACAUUGUUACAUUGAAUAAUAUAUAUUUUUUUCAUUUUCUUUUUUAAUUGUAUAUUUAUGUAAAAAUAUAAUUUAAUGCAUUUUAAAGUCGCAAAUAAAUAUAUGUACUAUGUACAUCAUUCAUAAUUGGUUAGUAUUUUAAUAUAGAAUAAAUUAAUUUUUAUUAAACUGUAGUUAGUAAUAAUUAUA